CGACCACAAGGGGGCCUAGUAGCCGGCCUGAGAGGGCGACCGGCCACACUGGGACUGAGACACGGCCCAGACUCCUACGGGAGGCAGCAGUGGGGAAUAUUGCACAAUGGGCGAAAGCCUGAUGCAGCGACGCCGCGUGAGGGAUGACGGCCUUCGGGUUGUAAACCUCUUUCGACAGGGACGAAGCGCAAGUGACGGUACCUGUAGAAGAAGCACCGGCCAACUACGUGCCAGCAGCCGCGGUAAUACGUAGGGUGCGAGCGUUGUCCGGAAUUACUGGGCGUAAAGAGCUUGUAGGCGGCUUGUCGCGUCGAUCGUGAAAACUUGGGGCUCAACCCCAAGCUUGCGGUCGAUACGGGCAGGCUUGAGUACUUCAGGGGAGACUGGAAUUCCUGGUGUAGCGGUGAAAUGCGCAGAUAUCAGGAGGAACACCGGUGGCGAAGGCGGGUCUCUGGGAAGUAACUGACGCUGAGAAGCGAAAGCGUGGGUAGCGAACAGGAUUAGAUACCCUGGUAGUCCACGCCGUAAACGGUGGGUACUAGGUGUGGUUGUAAACCU
rnacentral:rRNA from 1 species